rnacentral:lncRNA from 1 species
GAAAAUAUGGAACUGAAUAAAGAAACUGUUUUAUUUCUCUUCUGGUUGUUCUUUCCAACGUGAGCAAAAUGCAAUACAAGAGUAUCUCUUUAAAUAAAGCAAUGCGUAACAAAUAUAACAAAUUGACAGAAUAUCUGUAGAAGUUAUGCUCUUCCUAUUUUUGAGUAAUCCCUUUGAAUUUCUUGCUAUCUUUGACUAAUAUGGUUAGGAAGCACCUGGACUUGAAGUUGGUUUGGUGCAUUCCUCCAAAGAUGGCUGGAUUGGUUUGGAUCCGAUAUUCUUGACUGAUUUGCUGUUAU